rnacentral:ncRNA from 1 species
AGAUCCUUAAUCGUGGUAUCCAAUGGCUUGAUGUACAGGGUGUUAUUGUUCAGCGCAAUGUCACCACUGGCGCGGACAUCAUCACCAACCAGUGGGAUAUCCAGAUGCAGCGAGCCUUUCACCGACCCGCCAAUUUUUAGUUCAUCCAGCGCCAUACCCAGCGAGGAUUUCAGCGGCGUCUGAUGGAAAUAGUUGCCCACCUCCGGUCCUGGACCGUCUAGCUCACCAUCAACGAGCAGCAUCUCUUUUUCAUAAUCGGGAAUAACCGCGCUAAUAUUUUUGCCUUCAACCUUACCCAGCCAGGUUUGUGGCGCAAACAUCCACAGACCGUUGUUAGCAAAAUCCAGAUUGAUAUCCAGCGGCGUCAGCGCAGGCCAGCCCGGUUGAAACUCGAAAGUCGCCUCUUUCACUGGCACC